GACGGAGGAUGCAAGCGUUAUCCGGAAUUAUUGGGCGUAAAGCGUCCGCAGGUGGCUGUUCAAGUCUGCUGUCAAAGCGCAGAGCUUAACUCUGUACAGGCGGUGGAAACUGAAGAGCUAGAGUAUGGUAGGGGUAGAGGGAAUUCCCGGUGUAGCGGUGAAAUGCGCAGAUAUCAGGAGGAACACCGGUGGCGAAGGCGGAUCUCUGGGCCUUACCUGACGCUGAGGCGCGAAAGCUAGGGGAGCAAACAGG
rnacentral:rRNA from 1 species